rnacentral:rRNA from 1 species
GCAGUCGAGCGGAUGAGUGGAGCUUGCUCCAUGAUUCAGCGGCGGACGGGUGAGUAAUGCCUAGGAAUCUGCCUGGUAGUGGGGGACAACGUUUCGAAAGGAACGCUAAUACCGCAUACGUCCUACGGGAGAAAGUGGGGGAUCUUCGGACCUCACGCUAUCAGAUGAGCCUAGGUCGGAUUAGCUAGUUGGUGAGGUAAAGGCUCACCAAGGCGACGAUCCGUAACUGGUCUGAGAGGAUGAUCAGUCACACUGGAACUGAGACACGGUCCAGACUCCUACGGGAGGCAGCAGUGGGGAAUAUUGGACAAUGGGCGAAAGCCUGAUCCAGCCAUGCCGCGUGUGUGAAGAAGGUCUUCGGAUUGUAAAGCACUUUAAGUUGGGAGGAAGGGCAGUAAGUUAAUACCUUGCUGUUUUGACGUUACCAACAGAAUAAGCACCGGCUAACUUCGUGCCAG